UGGGGAAUAUUGCACAAUGGGCGAAAGCCUGAUGCAGCCAUGCCGCGUGUGUGAAGAAGGCCUUCGGGUUGUAAAGCACUUUCAGUAGGGAGGAAGGUUUAGUAGUUAAUACCUGCUAGAUUUGACGUUACCUACAGAAGAAGCACCGGCUAACUCCGUGCCAGCAGCCGCGGUAAUACGGAGGGUGCGAGCGUUAAUCGGAAUUACUGGGCGUAAAGCGUACGCAGGCGGCCAUUUAAGUCAGAUGUGAAAGCCCCGGGCUCAACCUGGGAACUGCAUUUGAAACUGGAUGGCUAGAGUGCGGCAGAGGGUGGUAGAAUUUCAGGUGUAGCGGUGAAAUGCGUAGAGAUCUGAAGGAAUACCGAUGGCGAAGGCAGCCACCUGGGCCGACACUGACGCUCAUGUACGAAAGCGUGGGUAGCAAACAGG
rnacentral:rRNA from 1 species